UCUUCUCUCUCUUGUUCUCAACAAAGAUCUUUUGUAUGGCCAAGAAGAGAAAGGAGCGGCCGUCUUCUCAACAACAUGAAUUUUCUCCCUUAAGACAGACAAGAUGAUGUAGCCCUGACGCUGCUGCCAGUACUCCUCCCUACUUACACAUUUGGGAGUAGAGUUUCAGACCCAUCAACCUGGAAGUUCAGAAGGUUUCAUUGAUAUCCAGCCUAUCUUUUGUAUGGCCAAGAAGAGAAAGGAGCGGCCAUCUUCUCAACAACAUGAAUUUUCUCCCUUAAGACAGACAAGAUGAUGUAGCCCUGCAGCUGCUGCCAGUGCUCCUCCCUACUUACACAUUUGGGAGAAGAGUUUCAGAUCCAUCAACCUGGAAGUUCAGAGGGUUUCAUUGAUAUCCAGCCUGUUGGGACAAACCUGGUGGUGCAUCUACAAAAUGUGACAACCCGUAUGUCCUCAUGCAGGGAAACAGGCAAAAAUGCUAAAGUGUCGUUAAAAAUGCUCCUUGUUUAAUGGCUGAAAGUUUUACUUGUAGUUUGCUAUAAAAUAGACUUUUUACAUGAAAUGUUUUCUAAUGUGUAGUAACAGAUACUUCUGGAGUUGUAACCAAAUGAGUUGAAGUGAUUUAACUAUAUACUUUUGAAACAACUUAUGUUUUGUAAUUUUUGUAAAUAAAAUCUGCUGGGUCUAUAUAUGUAUCAUGUGGAAA